CAGAGGGGCAAGCGUUAUUCGGAAUUAUUGGGCGUAAAGGGCGCGUAGGCGGCUUUUCAAGUGACGGGUGAAAUCCCUCGGCUUAACCGAGGAACUGCCUGUCAGACUGGAAGGCUUGAGACCGGGAGAGGUGAGUGGAAUUCCCAGUGUAGCGGUGAAAUGCGUAGAUAUUGGGAGGAACACCAGUGGCGAAGGCGGCUCACUGGACCGGAACUGACGCUGAGGCGCGAAAGCGUGAGGAGCAAACAGGAUUAGAUACCCUGGUAGUCCACGCCGUAAACGAUGAGUGCUUGGUGUAGCGGGUAUCGACCCCUGCUGUGCCGAAGUCAACACAUUAAGCACUCCGCCUGGGGAGUACGGUCGCAAGACUG
rnacentral:rRNA from 1 species